UACGUAGGGACCAAGCGUUGUUCGGAUUUACUGGGCGUAAAGGGCGCGUAGGCGGCAAUUCAAGUCCGUGGUGAAAGCUCGAUGCUCAACAUCGAGUCGGCCACGGAAACUGGGGGGCUCGAGCACUGUAGAGGCAGAUGGAAUUCCGGGUGUAGCGGUGGAAUGCGUAGAGAUCCGGAAGAACACCGGUGGCGAAGGCGGUCUGCUGGGCAGUAGCUGACACUGAGGCGCGACAGCGUGGGGAGCAAACAGG
rnacentral:rRNA from 1 species